UACAGAGGUCUCAAGCGUUGUUCGGAUUCAUUGGGCGUAAAGGGUGCGUAGGUGGCGGGGUAAGUCAGGUGUGAAAUCUCGAGGCUCAACCUCGAAACUGCACUUGAUACUGCCUUGCUCGAGUACUGGAGAGGAGAUUGGAAUUUACGGUGUAGCAGUGAAAUGCGUAGAUAUCGUAAGGAACACCAGUGGCGAAGGCGACUCUUUGGCCUGUAACUGACGCUGAGGCGCGAAAGCGUGGGGAGCAAACAGG
rnacentral:rRNA from 1 species